GGGGAGAGUAUCCGCGCUUCCGGGGAACCGAGGGGGACAGGGUCUGGGAGGGACCCACUUUUUCUAGCAGAUAACCUUGUGCGUGCGCACACAUCACCUGGGCCCGUAUGUACGUGGGGUCUGAGUACACCUGGGGGUGCCGAACGUUCCACCUUUCUAACAAGCCGGGUGAGGGGGUUGCUGCCUGUGGGCGACCGCAGUUGAGAAGGCCCUGGGGACGCCCUGCCUACCCUCCGCUUACAGGUGCAUUCGGGUCGCUGUUCGUUAACCGGGGUGUCCAGAGCCCUGCGCCUCAGGGACGGACUCGGGACCCGCGGUUAAUAGGUGAGCGCGGGCACGCGGUAGCAGGAGCGGGUGAGACAGGGUGUGUGUGCGGCCGCCCGCGGACCUACCCGGAAGGCGACCGUGUGCCCGCAGGGCCGGGACUGCCACGUGCGGAGACAGCGCCCGCCGUCUGGGUGGAGUGGAGCGAGGACGCGCAGGGGCCCCGCCUCUGGGGCUCGUGCGGGAGCAAGGCGGCGCCAAAGGACGCGAGGAGAUGGCUUCCCGGCAGGUGCGUUCCUGAGCGGCGGAUCAAACCGACACUGAACCCAGAGGGCCGCGCUCCGGUUUAAGCCGGGCUGCUGCAGCGUCCGAAACGGCGUCCGGUGACCCCGCAGGUCCCGCGGGUCCCGGCCGCAAGGGUCGUGGGGUCUGCACGCUCCCGCGCCCUCCUCCCCACGCUUUCCACUCCGCCCAGAGACCUCGAAGAACACCUGCUAGGCCAAGUCCCGCCUGCUUUGAACGCUCUGUGCUCCUGCUUCUUACGUGUUCUCCCUGCUCCCCGCUCCGCUGCCGCUGCGCUCCCUUUUCAGACACUUUCUAACCUUUGCCCGGAAUCGUCAGGGGGCACUCAGUUUUCCCUGCACCGAGUCAAAAUCCCACUCGCAUCGUGAUCCUGGAGGUGGGAUCCCUAACAGCGUGUUCAACACAGAGCUGCCGUUCCGGUUCUGGGACUACAUCUCCCCAGGAGGUGACGCUGUGUGCCCUCCGCCCCGCCCCUCCUUCCCCGGAGUUACUGCGGGCCGGGCUGGAACAGACCCCUGCGGGGACCCGGUCCAAUCUCAUUUUAAUCAGGCGCCAGCAGGUGGCAGCACGCCGCCUUGCCUCGGUCCUGCUGGCGGAGCCUGAACACCUUUUCCAUGUUUUCAACAAAAUCAAUUUUCGAGUGUUCACAGUUGUUGAACUGAGAGGCUUUACUCCACACCAUUUAAUUUUAGACGGAGAAAUAGUUUGGUUUUUUUUCCCGAGCAUUAUGGGGUAGCCGAAUCUGUUCUUAUCGAUUCUUCUCUCAUAGAAUGCAGGUGUAAACUUGCAGUCAUUUAACGACAGGCUUCCGAGAACUCCAUAAUUAUGGACAACGAAAGCCUUAUGGAUUAAAUCCAGCAAAUUUUAUAUCUCACCUUCACUUGAUAUUUUCAGUAUUCCACUGAUGCGUCCCUACCUCAGUGCUCCGGAAGUGGUGACCACAUGGGUCACAACCACACCAAACUGUGCUACUUGGUUUGACGCGUUUCUGUCCUUCUCACUGACUGAGCCGCUCCAGGGCCUGGUCCUGUCUUAUCCGUCUGAUUGUUUGACACCCUCAGCACAUCUGAUACCUAGUAGGUUGUCCGUGAGAAUGUCUGUGACCAGAGCGCCGAACACAUCUGUAGCGACAGCUCAUUCAGUCGUUGGAGAUGAAGAUCUUCUGGAAUCUGUGUUUGGGUGCAGACCCUCAGGACUACGCAUGCAGGCGCACUCCCGGGAGGGCUUCUUGUGUCCGCAGACAAGGAGGGAAGAGCUGAGGAAACAAAUUAAGGCACGUCUUCUCUUGGGAAAAUUGAAUCCAUAAUGACACAUUAUUAGUUGAAGUCGUCCCCUCCUACCCCCACCUUAUUCCUGAGCCAGCAGGCCCUAAAGCAGCAGUUUUCCAGAACAUGUUUGGGAAGCCUCAUUGUACAGCAUAUGGAAGGGACUGUGUUCCUCGAGCCCCAUGAGGUUUCUGUAGAAUUUCUUAAAAUUUUAUCGUGGCUAGUAGUAAACACACAAGUGCAAUGUUAUGUUUGGGGAUUUUCCCUCUGUAUUUUUGAUUGUAUAUCGUCGACCCGAAACAGAUAAGAUCGCUAAAGCGUGGUUAAAAAUUAGGCCACACGAACAUGCUAUUUGGGUAUCUGAUGUGCUCUCUAACAGGUCGUCUGUAAGAAGCCAGAGCCAGAUGACCAGGCUCUGCUGAUGUCCUGGGAUGAGGCCCAUGGUGACACAGACAUUAGUCUAAACCUCCCUCUUGGCUUUUCUGAUGUGUGUGCCUGAUGCCUCUUGAUGGCAAAUCUGUCACGUGCCAUCAGCGGCUGGCUCUGGGUUUAUGGAAAGUGUGGAGGCAUUUCCCACAAUGGUUUCUGGCACAUAGUGGACACUCAGGGGACGUUUGUCUAGUCAUUCAUAGCCUGGCCAUUGGCUAAUGGGGCAGGCCCUGGGCCAGAGGGUGGACCACCACCAGGCCAAAAGGCGGUCCACGCCAUGGGAGACGCGUGCUGUGAUGGUGCCGAAGGAAACUGCCUGCAGGAAGCGUCACCAGGCGGGGGCACGUGCAGGGCUGACCUCUGAAGAUUGAGUGGAGACUCCUCUGGUAAGCUGGGUAGAAGGAAAAGAACAUUGCUGGCAGAGGAAACCAUGUGUUCAGACACAGGCUAUUUUUGCGGCACAUUGACUUUUGCACGUGACCUUGUCUUUCCGUGAGCGCUCUGGAGCAGCCCUGCUGUCUUCCGGCCGUAGCUUCUCACCGGAGCCAGCGGUCCUUCCGCGUGCAGGUUUUCUGCGGGUGCUGUGCCAUACUCCUGUUUUGAGGAUUUUCUCUUGGUUUCACCAGAUGGACGAUGAUGUGCCUAAGAUUCAUUUUAUCUGUAUUUGUAUUUCUUUUGGCUCAAUAAACUUAAUUCUCUGAGUUA